rnacentral:rRNA from 1 species
CCUACGGGUGGCAGCAGUGAGGAAUAUUGGUCAAUGGGCGGGAGCCUGAACCAGCCAAGUCGCGUGAGGGAAGAAGGUACUGAGUAUUGUAAACCUCUUUUGCCAGGGGACAAAGGCGGCCACGGGUGGCCGUAAGAGGGUACCUGGAGAAAAAGCAUCGGCUAACUCCGUGCCAGCCGCCGCGGUAAUACGGAGGAUGCGAGCGUUAUCCGGUUUUAUUGGGUUUAAAGGGUGCGCAGGCGGCGUGUCAAGUCAGCGGGAAAAUGUCGGGGCUCAACCCCGGCCGGCCGUUGAAACUGGCAGGCGCGAGUUGGAGAGAAGUAUGCGGAAUUCGUGGUGUAGCGGUGAAAUGCAUAGAUAUCACGAAGAACCCCGAUUGCGAAGGCAGCAUACCGGCCCCACACUGACGCUGAGGCACGAAAGCGUGGGUAUCGAACAGGAUUAGAUACCCUUGUAGUC